GGUUAUAUCUGAAGCCUUGUAUGAGUGUCUUGUUGAGUGGCACCUUGAGCGGAAGAUCUCCACUGUCACUUUGGACAACUGCACAUCAAAUGACAAGGCUAUGGUUAUAUUGCCAGAUAAGUUGGAUACAAGCUCUCUCAUGUUGGAUGGUCAAUUAAUGCAUAUGCGUUUUGCCGCUCACAUAUUAAACUUAAUUGUGAAAGAUGGAAUGAGUGUCUUAGAGCAAGGUAUAGAGAGGUUGUGUGAUAGUGUUGCAUUUUGGUCAGCCACACCUAAAAGGCAUGAGAAGUUUGAAAAGAUGGCAAAAACUUUGAACAUAGAGUAUAACAAAAGGUUAAAUCUUGAUUGUAAGACUAGAUGGAAUUCAACUUAUACAAUGAUUAGCAUUGCACUACAGUACAUGGAGAUAUUUGAAAAAUUAAAGCCACGGGAAAAGAAAUUUAAGUGUUGCCCAACCAAAGAUGAUUGGGAGUUUGCAAAAGAAAUAUGUGAUAGGCUGAAGCUCUUCUUUGAUAUCACCGAGUCAUUCUCAGGCACCAAGUAUGUCACAGCAAAUAUAUUUUUUCCCUAAAGUGAUUACCAUUCGCUUAGCCAUAAGGAAAUGGGGUAAGAGUGACAUUGAGCUUAUACAAAAAAUGUCUGAGGAAAUGAAGGAUAAGUUUGAGAAGUAUUGGAAAGAUAUCCAUGGUCUUAUGUCUGUUGCAACAGUUCUUGAUCCAAGGUAUAAACUUCAUAUUCUCAAUGCUCUUUAUGGUCCCCUCGAUGGAAGAGUGCAUGCAGCCACCGAAAUAGAGAAGGUAAAGAAGUUAUUGAAUGAGUUGGUGAAGCAAUAUAAAGAUGAAGUUGAAGGUGAGGAUACACGGGAUGUUUCUCUUACGGAGCCAGUUGGAGAAGAAGAUGAAGCCAUGAAACUCUAUGAUAUGUAUUAGUCUAGUCGCCCCACGGUCCCUUCUUCAUCAAUCCAUACAGAAUUGGACUUGUAUUUGGAAGAAGCUAGUUUUCUUAAAAAUAGAACAGAACAAUUUGAUAUUAUCAAUUGGUGGAAGGUUAGCGGCUCGAGGUUUCCUACCUUGCAAAAACUAGCUCGUGAUAUAUUGCCUAUUCCCAUAACAUCUGUGGCUUCUGAAUGUGCGUUCAGCACUAGUGGAAGAGUGCUCAGUGCACAUCGUAGUAGACUUACUCCUAAUGUGGCUGAAGCUCUCAUGUGCAUGCAAGCUUGGUCUCGUGCAGAUAUGUUAGGUGGUUGGAACUCUACACUCUUUGCUACAUUCCAGAGUGUUCUCGAGGAUGAGGAAGAAGAGAUGGAUGAGUCUACUUCAAUCAUCACCCAAGAGUGAAGAUACGGCUGGUGUUUGUGCUGGGUUGGAAGCUGAUGGUUGCUACGUGUGCUGGCUGGGUGUGCUAGAUUUUGGCUGCUAGCUGACGUAGUUGCUAUUUGUGCUAGCUGAUGGUGCUCCAUAUGUUUCUUAUGUUUCUUAUUUAUUACUUAUCAGUUGUUAUUUUCUGAAGUGUGCCCUGGAGCCUGUGAACAUAUGUUUUGUUCUCAUUAUUUUUCCAUUUUCCAUGUAACACGUUUGCACUCAUUAACUUAUACGUACGAGAUUUUGGUUUCAUAA